rnacentral:rRNA from 1 species
AUUGAACGCUGGCGGCAGGCUUAACACAUGCAAGUCGAGCGGGGUGAUGGUGCUUGCACUAUCACUUAGCGGCGGACGGGUGAGUAAUGCUUAGGAAUCUGCCUAUUAGUGGGGACAACAUCUCGAAAGGGAUGCUAAUACCGCAUACGUCCUACGGGAGAAAGCAGGGGAUCACUUGUGACCUUGCGCUAAUAGAUGAGCCUAAGUCGGAUUAGCUAGUUGGUGGGGUAAAGGCCUACCAAGGCGACGAUCUGUAGCGGGUCUGAGAGGAUGAUCCGGCACAGUGGGGCGGAGACACGGCCCAGACUCCUACGGGAGGCAGCAGUGGGGAAUAUUGGACAAUGGGGGGAACCCUGAUCCAGCCAUGCCGCGUGUGUGAAGAAGGCCUUAUGGUUGUAAAGCACUUUAAGCGAGGAGGAGGCUCUUUUGGUUAAUACCCAAGAUGAGUGGACGUUACUCGCAGAAUAAGCACCGGCUAACUCUGUGCCAGCCGCCGCCGUAA